GACGAACGCUGGCGGCGUGCUUAACACAUGCAAGUCGAACGGACAGGCCCUGCUUUUGUUGGUUGCUCGAUUGCCGAACGCGUGAGUAACACGUGAGUAACCUGCCCUUUACUUUGGGAUAACUUCAGGAAACUGGGGCUCAUACCGGAUAUGAUCUCCUGCUGCAUGUUGGGGGUUGGAAAGUUUCGGCGGUUGUGGAUGGAUUCGCGGCUUAUCAGCUUGUUUGUGGGGUAGUUGCUUACCAAGGCUUUGACGGGUAGCCGGCAUGAGAGGGGUAACGGCGACAUGGGGACUGAGGUAGGGCGCAGAAUGGUACGGGAGGCAGCAGUGGGGAAUAUUGCAGAAUGGGGGGAAGCCUGAGGCAGAAACGCCGGGUGCGGGAUGACGGGCUUCGGGGUGUAAACCGAUGUCGCAGGAGACGAAGAGUGAGUGACGGUAAUGGGUAAAGAAGCACCGGCUAACUACGUG
rnacentral:rRNA from 1 species